GACGAACGCUGGCGGCGUGCUUAACACAUGCAAGUCGAACGGAAAGGCCCUGCUUUUGUGGGGUGCUCGAGUGGCGAACGGGUGAGUAACACGUGAGUAACCUGCCCUUGACUUUGGGAUAACUUCAGGAAACUGGGGCUAAUACCGGAUAGGAGCUCCUGCUGCAUGGUGGGGGUUGGAAAGUUUCGGCGGUUGGGGAUGGACUCGCGGCUUAUCAGCUUGUUGGUGGGGUAGUGGCUUACCAAGGCUUUGACGGGUAGCCGGCCUGAGAGGGUGACCGGCCACAUUGGGACUGAGAUACGGCCCAGACUCCUACGGGAGGCAGCAGUGGGGAAUAUUGCACAAUGGGUGGAAGCCUGAUGCAGCAACGCCGCGUGCGGGAUGACGGCCUUCGGGUUGCAAACCGCUUUCGCCUGUGACGAAGCGUGAGUGACGGUAAUGGGUAAAGAAGCACCGGCUAACUACGUG
rnacentral:rRNA from 1 species